rnacentral:rRNA from 1 species
UGGUGUACCGGUUGUGACGCCAGUCGCAUCGCCGGGUAGCUAUGUUCGGAAGGGAUAACCGCUGAAAGCAUCUAAGCGGGAAGCCUACCUCAAGAUAAGAUUUCCCUAGGACUUUAUGUCCUCUAAAGAGCCGUUCGAGACUAGGACGUUGAUAGGUUGGAUGUGGAAGCAUAGUGAUAUGUGAAGCUGACCAAUACUAAUUGCUCGUGAGGCUUGACUAUACAACACCCAAGCAGUUG